rnacentral:rRNA from 1 species
UACGUAGGGUGCGAGCGUUAAUCGGAAUUACUGGGCGUAAAGUGUGCGCAGGCGGCGCUGCAAGUCGAGUGUGAAAUCCCCGAGCUUAACUUGGGAACUGCGCUCGAAACUACGGCGCUGGAGUAUGGCAGAGGAAGGUGGAAUUCCACGUGUAGCGGUGAAAUGCGUAGAGAUGUGGAGGAACACCGAUGGCGAAGGCAGCCUUCUGGGCCAAUACUGACGCUCAUGCACGAAAGCGUGGGGAGCAAACAGG